GACGAACGCUGGCGGCGUGCNUAAUACAUGCAAGUCGAGCGAACGGAAGGGAGCUUGCUCCCGGAAGUUAGCGGCGGACGGGUGAGUAACACGUGGGCAACCUGCCUGUAAGACCGGGAUAACUCGCGGAAACGUGAGCUAAUACCGGAUAGUUUAUCACUCCGCAUGGAGUGAUAAGGAAAGAUGGUUCUGCCAUCACUUACGGAUGGGCCCGCGGCGCAUUAGCUAGUAGGUGGGGUAACGGCUUACCUAGGCGACGAUGCGUAGCCGACCUGAGAGGGUGAUCGGCCACACUGGGACUGAGACACGGCCCAGACUCCUACGGGAGGCAGCAGUAGGGAAUCUUCCGCAAUGGACGAAAGUCUGACGGAGCAACGCCGCGUGAGUGAGGAAGGUCUUCGGAUCGUAAAGCUCUGUUGCCAGGGAAGAAGUCUUGAGAGAGUAACUGCUCUCGAGGUGACGGUACCUGAGAAGAAAGCCCCGGCUAACUACGUG
rnacentral:rRNA from 1 species